GGGACCAAUGUGGGCCCCAAGGGCACCAUGAAGAUGCUGGUGUCCGGGGCUGGAGAGAUCAAGCUUACCAAAGAUGGCAACGUGCUGCUUCACGAGAUGGUG